rnacentral:rRNA from 1 species
UACGUAGGGUGCGAGCGUUAAUCGGAAUUACUGGGCGUAAAGCGUGCGCAGGCGGUCUGUUAAGACCGAUGUGAAAUCCCCGGGCUUAACCUGGGAACUGCAUUGGUGACUGGCAGGCUUUGAGUAUGGCAGAGGGGGGUAGAAUUCCACGUGUAGCAGUGAAAUGCGUAGAGAUGUGGAGGAAUACCGAUGGCGAAGGCAGCCCCCUGGGCCAAUACUGACGCUCAUG